CUCAACAAAAUGGAGUGGCAGAGCGGAUGAACAGGACUCUGUUAGAAAGAACAAGAGCAAUGUUGGGAGCUGCAAGCUUAGAGAAGAAAUUCUGGGCAGAAGCAGUCAACACCGCCUGUUAUGUGAUAAAUCGGUCGCCAUCAACUGCAAUUGAGUUGAAAACACCGAUGGAGAUGUGGACAGGAAAGCCCGUCGACUAUUCAGACCUCCAUAUAUUUGGGAGUCCAGUGUAUGUAAUGUACAAUAACCAAGAAACUACAAAGCUAGUUCCAAAGUCUAGAAAGUGUGUGUUCUUGGGAUAUGCUGAUGGAGUAAAGGGGUAUUGCAUGUGGGAUCCCACUGCCCACAAGGGGUACCUCCAUUAUCUGUCCUCAAACACUUGAUCUUCUUCUCAGAUUCAAGUUCCACCCUUGUAAGUCAAAUAACACGUUUUUCAUAAUGGACGGUGAUGGACGGUGAAGUUGGACGGUGAAGGAGGUGAUUUUGUCAAUAAUUAUGGCUUUCACAUGUCCAAACUUCUUCUAUAAAAGGAGAGCUAAGCUGAAGAGGAAAUUCAUCCCAAAAUCAAAAUCACAGAGAGAAGUGAGGAAGAAGAAGAACGUGAGAGAGAGAGAGAGAGAGAGAGAGAGAGAGAGAAAAAAAACUUUAUUUUUCUUACGGGUAUUUGGGAUCGGGUUGAGAGAAAAUUAUUUAGAGAGUUUGGGAAUUUUCUCCUAUUAUAACGAGAAAAUUAUUAAUCGAUUUCUCCGUUAUAAUUGAGAGGUUGUAACUCCUAUUAUUUUUCUCGUAAUAAAUUCUUCUACCUUGUCUGUGGUUUUUACCCUUUGGGGUUUUCCACGUUAAAUCUGGUGUUCCAUUUAUUACACUAUUUCUCAAAUUAUUAGCUGCGACCCUGCUCUAUCCGGUCCAGUUUUACAACAAGUGGUAUCAGAGCAUAGGUUCUGGAAGAAGCAAUGGCGGCAAAAUUUGAGAUCGAAAAAUUCAACGGCAGUAACUUUGCGCUGUGGAAGUUGAAGAUGAAGGCUAUCUUGAGAAAAGAUGGUUGUUUAGCGGCCAUUAGUGCAAGACCGGCUACAUACACAGAUGAUGAUAAAUGGAACGAGAUGGAUGGGAAUGCUAUGGCAAAUCUUCAUCUUGCCCUUGCAGAUGGAGUGUUGUCAAGCAUAGAGGAGAAGAAGACUGCAAAGGAGAUAUGGGAUCACCUUGCAAAAUUGUACGAGGCCAAAUCGCUGCACAAUAAAAUUUUCCUCAAGAGGAAGCUUUAUACCCUUCGAAUGGGAGAAUCUACUUCAGUGACGGAGCACAUCAACACCUUGAAUACUUUAUUUUCUCAACUCACUUCGUUGAGUUAUAAAGUAGAAUCACAAGAACGUGCUGAGCUUCUACUUCAAAGUCUACCAGAUUCAUAUGAUCAACUCAUCAUCAACUUAACAAAUAAUGUCUCCACCGACAGUCUAGUCUUUGACGAUGUUGCAGCUGCGGUUCUAGAAGAAGAAAGUCGGCGCAAAAGUAAGGAAGACAGACGAGAAAAUUCUCAAAUAGAGGCAUUGACGGUGAUGAGAGGGAGAUCAAUGGAACAUGGCUCAAGUGGGAGUCACAAACAUGGUAGAUCAAAGUCAAGAAGUAAGAAGACUUUUAAAUGCUACCACUGUGGCAAGAAGGGUCACUUGAAGAAGGAUUGUUGGGAAUUGAAGAAUUCCAACCCUCAAGGAAAUGUCGCAAACACUUCAGAUAAUGGAAUUAAAUUCUACGCUUCUAAGUUUGUGUCUAUUGUACUGGUCUAGUAAUUACGUUGUUAGUUUCUUGUGCGAGGAUUAGGAAUAAGAAUGCUCAUGUCCCAAGAUGCCUUGUACUUUAAGAAUAUCGAUGUUUAUUUUCUAACCUGGAUAUUUUAUUGGUAGGUACCCUCGUUCUUCAUUCGCAAACUUGUGACUCAGGUUUUCUCAUUUAUCAACUUAUCACUUUUCAACAGGUACAUGUGGUCUUAAUUUCAAUUCUUUGCUUCAUUGCUUACCUCAGUUUACAUUUGUUUUCUGCAUAUUUAAUCUGAAUUCCUUUUCAGUCUUCUCCUUCGACGUGAAUGUUGCACAUUUUCAAAUGGAGAAUAUGUGAAAUCUGGGAUUGCAGAAUUGGAGAAGUGGAUAGCCAGUGUCAAGGAAGAGGUACACCAUGCUUUACACUCGUUAUUAUUUUUCAUAGACGGAUGCUUUCUGUGAUCUAAAGUUUUGUGAAUGCAGUUUGCAGGAACUUCUUGGCACGAGUUAAAUUACAUUAGACAAGCUGUUGGAUUCUUGGUAAAAACUCAUUCCUUCUUUUCUGAUAGAAAGCUAGUUUCGUUUGUAAUUGAGCUUGCAUUAAUUAAGUUGUAUUUUGUGCAACUUUUUGAUUGCGUCAUAGGUUAUACACCAGAAGCGAAAAAAAUCACUGGAAGAAAUCAGGCAGGACCUAUGCCCGGUACGUCAUUUUUGUUUGGCUUCCGUUUUCUUAUCUUUGAAUCCUGGCCGUAAGCACUUUCGAAAUCUCACUAAACGUCGGCACUAUUUUGUUCUCUUAUAGGCAUUGACUAUAAGGCAAAUAUAUCGAAUAAGUACGAUGUACUGGGAUGAUAAAUAUGGAACUCAGAGUGUCUCAAGUGAGGUGAGUUAAUGUCUAAAGCUCUUUAAUCAUGGGCUUUGGUUGAAAUGUCUAUUUAAACACUUUUACACAAUGUAUCUUUGUGUUGUAGGUGGUUUCUCAAAUGAGGGUACUUGUUGACAAGGAUAGCCAAAAACUAACAUCCAAUUCCUUCUUGCUGGAUGAUGAUAUGAGGUACUAUUCUCUACCGUUUUAGUCUGUAUAACUAAAUGAAAUAUUUCAAAAGUAAGUCAGCUCUCAAGUUUAGUUAUACGUGGGUAGUACAAUAUGGUAGUAACAACACAAACGUUUAUAUCUCUAGCUCGGCCAGGGUUUACAUGUUGCGGGUUAUGCAUGUGAAAAUCUUAGGAUCUAUAUAGAUUGAAUAACGCAUUUCUAAGGUUUGGUUUGGGUAUUUGGCUGAGAGUCGACGGUUAAUCAAGUUUCUCUCGCAUAACUCAGACGUUAUUAAAGUUGUCUACAUUAUAUAGAUUAAUGUAUCGUUGUGUGUGUGUAUGUGUGUGUGCACUGUGCAGCAUUCCUUUCUCUGCAGAAGAUAUAGAUAAGGCUAUUCCAGUUUUAGACCCAUCAGAAAUAGAACCACCGAAGUUUGUAUCAGAAUAUACUUGUGCACAGUCCCUUGUGAAGAACGCCUCUGCAGCUACAGCCUCACAGUAGAUCAUUUGAUGCAUAUGAGCUUGAUUAUGCAUCAAAUGCAAGUUAGAAAAAAAAUCAUUUGGUAUAAAACAAUGGAAGCUUAGACUUGGUAACUGUAGAAUUUUACUAUACGUUGAAGGCAAAAUAUUUGUAAUUGUGUAAUUGUCAGUUUUUAACGUUUUUUUUUUUUCAUUUUCGGGGACUGUAAGUGGUACAACAUCUUUGUGAAUAUUAAGUAAUGGAUUCUCAUAAUUUUUUGAAUUUAUUAUGGAUGUUAUCAUUGUUCAUUAAACAUCAGAGUUUUUCUUUGAGAGGAUUUUUUUGACAAAGAUUUUCUUUGAGAGUUACGUGCCAACAACCAUGUUGAUGAUAUCAAUGCGAGCAUUCCCGCCCCGUGACUAUUUUAUUAACAUGGACAAAAGUGCUCGACUUUUGUGAAAGUGAUUUUGUAGUUUUGGUACACCACCAAGUUUUAUUGGUGACCAAAUCACAAUCUAUUCUUUUGUAAUAACCAAUUGUAACUUACAUUUUAUUUAAACUACUGGAGUAAUAUACUUUAAAAAUUUCUAAUAUAUAUUACACUUUUACUGUUAAACAAGCUUAAGAAUCAUUUAGCAAAUGUAUAAUCACAGUAAUUGUGAUCCUUUGAGAAAUCUCGAAGGAUAUUAAUGUUUCCAGUUUUGUCUUACACAAAUAAUAAGAAUAACAUGAAAAAAUGAGAAAGCAUGGCAAGUAACGUAGUAAUACUAAAGUGGAUCAAUAAUACUUCACAUGUUUACUAGUAAACAAGCUUAAGAACCAUGUGGUGGAACUUGAAUCUGAGAAGUUUAUUUGACUUUCAGUUUUCAAAGUUUUCAAAGCACGGGUGGAACUUGAAUUUGAGAAGAAGAUCAAGUGUUUGAGGACAGAUAAUGGAGGUGAAUACACUGGUGAUGUAUUUAGCCAAUUCUGUAAAGUAGAGGGCAUCAAAAGGUAGUUCACUACAUCAUACACUCCUCAACAAAAUGGAGUGGCAGAGCGGAUGAACAGGACUCUGUUAGAAAGAACAAGAGCAAUGUUGGGAGCUGCAAGCUUAGAGAAGAAAUUCUGGGCAGAAGCAGUCAACACCGCCUGUUAUGUGAUAAAUCGGUCGCCAUCAACUGCAAUUAAGCUGAAAACACCGAUGGAGAUGUGGACAGGAAAGCCCGUCGACUAUUCAGACCUCCAUAUAUUUGGGAGUCCAGUGUAUGUAAUGUACAAUAACCAAGAAACUACAAAGCUAGUUCCAAAGUCUAGAAAGUGUGUGUUCUUGGGAUAUGCUGAUGGAGUAAAGGGGUAUUGCAUGUGGGAUCCCACUGCCCACAAGGGGUACCUCCAUUAUCUGUCCUCAAACACUUGAUCUUCUUCUCAGAUUCAAGUUCCACCCGUGUAAGUCAAAUAACACGUUUUUCAUAAUGGACGGUGAUGGACGGUGAAGUUGGACGGUGAAGGAGGUGAUUUUGUCAAUAAUUAUGGCUUUCACAUGUCCAAACUUCUUCUAUAAAAGGAGAGCUAAGCUGAAGAGGAAAUUCAUCCCAAAAUCAAAAUCACAAAGAGAAGUGAAGAAGAAGAAGAACGUGUGAGAGAGAAAAGAAAAAAAAAAUUCUAUAAUCUCUUACGGGUAUUUGGGAUCGGGUUGAGAGAAAAUUAUUUAGAGAGUUUGGGUAUUUUCUCCUAUGAGAAAAUUAUUAAUCGAUUUGUCCGUUAUAAUUGAGAGGUUGUAACUCCUAUUAUUUUUCUCGUAAUAAAUUCUUCUACCUUGUCCGUGGUUUUUACCCUUUGGAGUUUUCCACGUUAAAUAUGGUGUUCCAUUUAUUACACUAUUUCUCAAAUUAUUAGCUGCGACCCUGCUCUAUUCGGUCCAGUUUUACAACAAGUGGUAUCAGAGCAUAGGUUCUGGAAGAAGCAAUGGCGGCAAAAUUUGAGAUCGGAAAAUUCAACGGCAGUAACUUUGCGCUGUGGAAGUUGAAGAUGAAGGCUAUCUUGAGAAAAGAUGGUUGUUUAGCGGUCAUUAGUGCAAGACCGGCUACAUACACAUAUGAUGAUAAAUGGAACGAGAUGGAUGGGAAUGCUAUGGCAAAUCUUCAUCUUGCCCUUGCAGAUGGAGUGUUGUCAAGCAUAGAGGAGAAGAAGACUGCAAAGGAGAUAUGGGAUCACCUUGCAAAAUUAUACGAGGCCAAAUCGCUGCACAAUAAAAUUUUCUUCAAGAGGAAGCUUUAUACCCUUCGAAUGGGAGAAUCUACUUCAGUGACGGAGCACAUCAACACCUUGAAUACUUUAUUUUCUCAACUCACUUCGUUGAGUUAUAAAGUAGAAUCACAAGAACGUGCUGAGCUUCUACUUCAAAGUCUACCAGAUUCAUAUGAUCAACUCAUCAUCAACUUAACAAAUAAUGUCUCCACUGACAGUCUAGUCUUUGACGAUGUUGCAGCUGCGGUUCUAGAAGAAGAAAGUCGGCGCAAAAGUAAGGAAGACAGACGAGAAAAUUCUCAAAUAGAGGCAUUGACGGUGAUGAGAGGGAGAUCAAUGGAACAUGGCUCAAGUGGGAGUCACAAACAUGGUAGAUCAAAGUCAAGAAGUAAGAAGACUUUUAAAUGCUACCACUGUGGCAAGAAGGGUCACUUGAAGAAGGAUUGUUGGGAAUUGAAGAAUUCCAACCCUCAAGGAAAUGUCGCAAACACUUCAGAUAAUGGAAUCGCGCUAUGUUGUGAAGCAGCAAUUUCAAGCGAAAAUAGAAGAAGGUUCGCUGAUAUAUGGUUGUUCGACUCAGGAGCUACAUAUCACAUGACCUCUAGAAGAGAAUGGUUCCAUCAUUAUGAACCCAUCUCAGGAGGAUCUGUGUACAGUUGCAAUGAUCAUGAACUUAAGAUUGUUGGCACUGGAUCCAUUCAACUGAAGAUGUAUGAUGGUACAGUUUGUACUAUUCAUGAGGUGCGACACGUGGAAGGCCUGAAAAAGAAUUUACUAUCUGUGGGGCAACUUGAUGAUCUUGGUUGCAAAGUUGAAGUUCAAAAUGGUACUCUAAAAGUAAUUAGAGGAGCACUUGUGCUUAUGAAAGGAGAGAAGAUAGCUGCGAAGUUAUACAUGUUAAGAGGAGAAACUCUGUCAGAAUCAGAAGCAUCUGUUGCUUCAAGCAGUUCCAGUGAGAAAGCUACUACGGUGUGGCAUCAGAAACUUGGGCAUAUGUCUGAACAAGGCAUGAAAAUUCUUGCAGAGAAGAAGUUACUUCCGGGUCUCACAAAGGUAUCACUAUCCUUUUGUGAGCAUUGUGUGACAAGCAAGCAGCAUCGGUUGAAGUUUAGCACGUCAAAUUCUAGAAGUAAAGUUAUUCUAGAAUUGGUUCACUCUGAUGUGUGGCAAGCACCAGUUAUAUCACUAGGAGGAGCGAAGUACUUUGUGUCCUUCAUCGAUGACUACUCCAGGAGAUGUUGGGUGUAUCCUAUCAAGAGUAAGGCAGAUGUGUUUUCAGUUUUCAAAGUUUUCAAAGCACGGGUGGAACUUGAAUCUGAGAAGAAGAUCAAGUGUUUGAGGACAGAUAAUGGAGGUGAAUACACUGGUGAUGUAUUUAGCCAAUUCUGUAAAGUAGAGGGCAUCAAAAGGCAGUUCACUACAUCAUACACUCCUCAACAAAAUGGAGUGGCAGAGCGGAUGAACAGGACUCUGUUAGAAAGAACAAGAGCAAUGUUGGGAGCUGCAAGCUUAGAGAAGAAAUUCUGGGCAGAAGCAGUCAACACCGCCUGUUAUGUGAUAAAUCGGUCGCCAUCAACUGCAAUUGAGCUGAAAACACCGAUGGAGAUGUGGACAGGAAAGCCCGUCGACUAUUCAGACCUCCAUAUAUUUGGGAGUCCAGUGUAUGUAAUGUACAAUAACCAAGAAACUACAAAGCUAGAUCCAAAGUCUAGAAAGUGUGUGUUCUUGGGAUAUGCUGAUGGAGUAAAGGGGUAUCGCCUGUGGGAUCCCACUGCCCACAAGGUUAUAAUCAGCAGAGAUGUUAUCUUCACAUAAGAUAAGAAGAUCGAAGAAGGAAGAAGCAGUUCAAAAGAAAGGUCAGAGACUGUAGCAGUACAAGUGGAAAAGGAGAAUUCUUCUGGAGCAACACCAGAACACGAGGAAGCCGAACCUGCCGAGUUGGAAGAAGAACUUGGUAAAGGAAAACGUGUAAGAACUACACCAGCUUGGCACGAGGAUUAUGAUCUGAGCUGCAAUGUUGCAUAUUGUCUUUUAACUGAGGACGGAGAGCCAUCAAAUCUCCAAGAAGCAAUGAGCAGUCCAGAUGUUUCUCAGUGGAUGGAAGCAAUGCAAGAAGAAAUUGAAGCUCUACAUAAAAAUAAAACUUGGGAGCUCGUACCAUUACCGCAAGGAAGAAAAGCCAUUGGAAACAAAUGGGUCUAUAAGAUCAAGCGAAAUGGUGAUGACCAAGUGGAGCGGUAUCGUGCUAGAUUGGUGGUGAAAGGAUAUGCUCAGAAAGAAGGCAUUGACUUCAAUGAAAUUUUUUCACCUGUGGUUCGACUUACAACAGUUCGGAUACUGUUGGCAAUGUGUGCUACAUUUGACUUACAUCUAGAGCAACUAGAUGUGAAAACAGCGUUUCUUCAUGGAGAUCUCGAGGAAGAAAUUUAUAUGCUCCAACCAGAAGGUUUUGAAGAAAAAGAAAAGGAGAACUUGGUUUGCAGGUUAAACAAAUCUCUGUACGGUCUAAAGCAGGCGCCAAGAUGCUGGUACAAUAGAUUUGAUUCCUUCAUUAUGAGCCUUGGAUACAUCAGACUUCAUGCAGACCCUUGUGCGUAUUUCAAGAGGUUUGGAGAAGGAGAGUUCAUUACUCUGUUGCUGUAUGUAGACGACAUGUUGAUAGCAGGCCCCAACAAUGAUCGUAUCAAAGAAUUGAAGGCACAGUUGGCUAGGGAGUUCGAGAUGAAGGACUUGGGACCAGCAAACAAGAUUCUAGGGAUGCAAAUUCACCGAGACAGAAAUAAUAGGAAGAUUUGGCUGUCACAGAAGAAUUAUUUGAAGAAAAUCUUGCGGAGGUUCAACAUGCAAGAUUGUAAGCCAAUCUCUACCCCACUUCCUAUUAAUUUCAAGUUAUCCUCCGGUAUGAGUCCUAGCAGUGAAGAAGGAAGGAUGGAAAUGUCUCGAGUACCGUAUGCAUCAGCAGUGGGGAG
rnacentral:lncRNA from 1 species